rnacentral:rRNA from 1 species
UACGAAGGGGACUAGCGUUGUUCGGAAUCACUGGGCGUAAAGCGCACGUAGGCGGAUGUGUCAGUCAGGGGUGAAAUCCCGGGGCUCAACCUCGGAACUGCCUUCGAUACUGCGGGUCUCGAGUCCGGGAGAGGUGAGUGGAAUUCCUAGUGUAGAGGUGAAAUUCGUAGAUAUUAGGAAGAACACCAGUGGCGAAGGCGGCUCACUGGCCCGGUACUGACGCUGAGGCGCGAAAGCGUGGGGAGCAAACAGG